rnacentral:rRNA from 1 species
GACGAACGCUGGCGGCGUGCUUAACACAUGCAAGUCGAACGGAAAGGCCCUGCUUGCAGGGUUCUCGAGUGGCGAACGGGUGAGUAACACGUGGGUGAUCUACCCUGCACUUCGGGAUAAGCCUGUGAAACUGGGUCUAAUACCGGACAGGAGCCAUUUUUAGUGUGAUGGUUGGAAAGUUUUUUCGGUGUAGGAUGAGCUCGCGGCCUAUCAGCUUGUUGGUGGGGUAAUGGCCUACCAAGGCGGCGACGGGUAGCCGGCCUGAGAGGGUGGCCGGCCACAUUGGGACUGAGAUACGGCCCAGACUCCUACGCGAGGCAGCAGUGGGGAAUAUUGCACAAUGGGCGCAAGCCUGAUGCUGCGACGCCGCGUGGGGGAUGACGGCCUUCGGGUUGUAAACUCCUUGCGCUAGGGACGAAGCUUUUUGUGACGGUACCUAGAUAAGAAGCACCGGCUAACUACGUG